GAUGAAGAACGUAGCGAAAUGCGAUAAGUAAUGUGAAUUGCAGAAUUCAGUGAAUCAUCGAAUCUUUGAACGCACAUUGCGCCCGCCAGUAUUCUGGCGGGCAUGCCUGUUCGAGCGUCAUUUCAACCAUCAAGCCCCCGGCUUGUGUUGGGGACCUGCGGCUGCCGCAGGCCCUGAAAACCAGUGGCGGGCUCGCUGUCACACCGAGCGUAGUAGAUUUUCAUCUCGCUCAGGGCGUGCUGCGGGUUCCGGCCGUAAAAAGCCUUAUUUACCCAAGGUUGACCUCGGAUCAGGUAGGGAUACCCGCUGAACUUAAGCAUAUCAAUAAGCGGAGGA
rnacentral:misc_RNA from 1 species